ensembl:lncRNA
GGUAUUCACCCAGAAACAUGGAUUUAACCUUAUUAUGUUAGGUCAAUGAAACUCAAAAUCUAUUUAUUACUGGUAGCUGAACAUCUGGUAUAGCCUACCCCUAAGUGCCCCUCCAUGUGAGAAGUUGUUCUCUUCACCAAACACAUAUAGAGUAAAAGAGAAACCACAAGCAGAAAUGGAGGAAGAGGACACUCAACUAGCCAGGCAAAUUAUGGCAACAAUUAAGCCCAGCAAGCAGAGGGCUAGCAGCUGUGUUAGCCAGACAAUGCAUUCUCUUAGAAGAGUGGACUAGACUCUGGAUAAUCUCUCAGUCCUUUCUAGGUUUAACUUCCAAUAAAUUUUGUUUGGAAGAGCAAAAUUAUCCCAUCACCACAGUUAUUUUAUUCAACUACUUUUCCAAAAUCUUUCAAAUUAUAGGUAAAGGUAUUUUGCAAGAUAUAAAAGCCAGAAAAUCAAGAUGAAAUUUAGCUAAGAUUUAGUAACCAGGUCAAUAAAAGUUGGUCAACAAUACUUAACACACAACAUGUACAUCAUGAGACAUCAUUGUUCACAUGACACAAUUUUAUAUGAAUUAUAGUCAAUAAAUCAGAUAAAAUAUUAUUAUCCUUAUAUAUUUUAAAAUUAAUAUCCAAACAAGAAAAAACAAUUUGUAAGUAUGUGUGUGUGUGUGUAUAUAUAUACAAUAAAUAUAUGGUUAUGUUUCACUUGAUAAGGAAAGCACUAAAAUGUAUUCAAAGCUGCCUGUUACAAUUUUAAAAAUACAAUCUUUGUAUUUUUGUUUUGUUUUAUUGUUUUGGCCAUGCCUGCUGCAUGCAGAAGUUCCUGGGCCAGGGAUCAAACCUGGGCCACAGCAGUAACCUGAGCCACAGCAGUGACACUAGAUCCUUAACCUGCUUAGGCACUAGGGAACUCCCAAUUGUUGUAUUUUUAAUACAAUUCUUUCUGGUGUCACAUAAAAGAAAAGGUGAUAAAAGUCUGUGAUUAUAUUAUUGACUAAUAAAGAUCUCCUUUGCAGUUUUCAGUGAAGUCAAAAGACAUGUACACUUAUAAAAAAAGUAUGAACCAAGUAAUAAAAAAUAUAAAAGUGCGAAGCUAAAAGAGAAAAUAAGAUGUCAGAGUGAAUAAAUCAAAGUCUAGCUUGGGACUUUACACCCAUACGACACUUAAAAACAAAUUUUAUAUAUGGGGACCUUAGAGGUGAAUUUAUCCAAUCACUUUAUCCAAUCACAAGGAAAUAAGUUGUUCAAAAUCAAGAUGGUAGAUUAUUUAAUGUGCUUGCAAUCCUGAGAAACAAGUGAAACAAAAAGCACAGAAUUACGAAAAGGAAUAAAAUAUUUAACAGAGGAGAAAAUGAAGGGGUAUGGGGGAAUUUAUCAAGGGAUACUUUCUGGAAGAUAGAAAGCAGAUUAAACAGAAGAGAGAGCAACUGCCCAUGAUAUGCUACCAGGGAACUAUAGUGGAGCUCUGAGUCAGCUAUACAUUAAAGGUCCAGAGUUGGCAGGUAUGAGAGAGGACACAAAUGAGAAGUGGAAUGGAAAGCAGGGAAAGUAAUUGAAGAUUUCUGGAAUGACUGUGCCAAUGAUCUCCUAACUGUAAGAGAGAGCAUAAGCAUUUUUCACAAUGAGAGGACUUCUGCGGGGAGAGCUGAGUGCUGGUAUAGGUAGAAGGGGCAGGGGUGGUGGUGGGGGGUCCUGCUGAUCUGGCAGCGUCGUGGCAGAGGAAAGAGGCAGAGAAGUCUACAAAAUUUAUGGAGCUCAGUGUAAGAUGUGAGGUCACUUGUUCAAAAAUUAUUAAGAAUUUCAAGAUAACUACAGAGCAUUAAACCCCAGGCAGGACCCUUCUAAAACUGGGACCUGGCGCAACUGCACAGAUUACACAUCAGUGAAGUCAGCCCUAAAGAGAGGAAGAUCAUCUCCAUCUCUGCUCACUCAAAUGUGAAAAAUCCUAGGCAAAAUGCCUCUCAAAUUAAAAAGAAAAAAUCUAGUCAGAUUCCUACUGGGGGAAAAAAAUUUAUCAAAAUAUAGGGUAUUUACACAGUAGCAGAGUAAACCCGUAUCAAUGUUCCAGGCCUUUUUUGCUAAAAGAGAAUGAAGAAAAACAAAGAAAAAACUUAUUCUAGAGAACGGAUAAUUCAAGAAAGAGAAAAUAACUUUUUAAAAACUUUUCCAAUACCACAGGGAGAUUUAAAAGAUAACAUAUCCAUUAAAAAAAAUAGAGAGAACAUUAGGAGUUCCUGUUGUGGUUCAGUGGUAACAAACCCUGAAUAGUAUCCAUGAGGAUGUGGGUUCAAUCCCUGGCCCCACACAGUGGGUUAAGUAUCCAGCAUUGCUGUGAGCUGUGGUGUAGGUUGCAGAUGUGCCUUAGAGCUGGCAUUGCCGUGGCUGUGGUGUAGGCUCGUGGCUGCAGCUCCAGUUCAACCCCUAGCCUGAGAACUUCCAUAUUCCACACAUGUGGCCCUAAAAAGAAAAACAAGAGAGAGAGAGAACAGUAUUCUAUGAAAAAUUUACAUAUUUAAAACUGAAGUGAUUCCUUAGAAAUUGAAAAUAUAACAAAAUAUUCUCUAGAAGGACUGCAAAUAAAAUUGAGAAAUUCUCCCAAAGCACAGAACAAAAAAAAAAAAAAGAUGAAGAAACAGGAAAUGAAGGAAAGGACAAAAGACAGAGGACCAACCUAGAAACUCUAACAUCUAACUAAUGAGAGUCCAAGAAAGAGAGAACAGAAAAGCAAAGGGGGAAGUUCCCAUCGUGGCUCAGUGGUUAACAAACCCAACUAGUAUCCAUGAGGAAGCAGAAAAUCCCAGGUCAGGGACUGAACCCAAGUCACGGCAGCCGUGAGCCACCAUGGUGACAACACUGGAUACUGAAGCUGCAGAGCCACACAGGAACUCCCUCUAGUGACAUUUUAGAAUAUAAAGGAAUAAAAAAAUAUAUCCUAAAACUUGCAUGCCAGAAGAAAACAGAGGAAUGCAAUAAAAAUUAUCAGAGAUAAAACUA